UACGAAGGGGGCUAGCGUUGCUCGGAAUCACUGGGCGUAAAGCGCACGUAGGCGGAUCUUUAAGUCAGGGGUGAAAUCCUGGAGCUCAACUCCAGAACUGCCUUUGAUACUGGGGAUCUCGAGUCCGGAAGAGGUGAGUGGAACUCCGAGUGUAGAGGUGAAAUUCGUAGAUAUUCAGAAGAACACCAGUGGCGAAGGCGGCUCACUGGUCCGGUACUGACGCUGAGGUGCGAAGGCGUGGGGAGCAAACAGG
rnacentral:rRNA from 1 species